GUUUAGUUGCUUGUCUUCACUACUCAUAUUAUCUUCACAUUUUGUUUGUUCAGCGUUCAUUAAAUAAAGAAGAAUGUACGCAUUCUACACUGCACCUUGGUCUCAUUCGUAUGAUGAACGUGACAGAAGAACCCACCACAAAAGGACCAAGCAGAGUGGUAAGGAGGAGCAGUGUUUUAUGGAGAAAUAGACAUGGGAGGAGAUUCUGGAUGCAGGCUGGGCUGUGUCGCCUUCCGAAGGAAGAAAUAGAGGCAGCGAAAGUGGAACUGCGAUAUUACGAGGAGAAAUACAAACGAGGCAAGCGCGAGUGGCAACCCCAAUACAUUUUUUGGGGGGGGGCACAUGAGGAGAUUGGUUGAGUCAGGUUGGAGACCUGAGCCAACUCCUCGUGCUUACUGUGGAGAGCGUGUGACUGGUCAGGCACCGUGUUAUGUAGAGAUGCACACGGUGUUUCCAGUUCACAUUCAUAGCCCGGUGCGCUCUAUUCCAGCUCCUCGCAUUUGCUGGGCUAGACUGGGCAUCCAGCCAGAACGGAUAGUGCCUGCUCAGCGCUCCUGGUCUCUAGUACACCUCCUUAGACCAGGAUAUCCUGCGCCGGCUCUGCGUACUGUGUCUCCGGUGUGUCUGCACAGCCCAGUGCAUCCUGUGCUAGCGCCCCGAACUUGCCGGACUCAAGUGAGCAUCCAGCCAGGAUGCAUUGUCCAGCUCUACGCUCCAGAUCUCCAGUGCGCCUCCACAGUCCAGUACGUUCUGUGCCUGUUCCCCGCACUCGCCCGAGGUGUUAGUCCCCAGCCCGGUACCAACAGUGCCGGCACCAGGCCUCCAGUGCGCUUCCGCAGUCCAGAGCUUCCGGCGACGGUACCACUUCCGACGAUGCUCCACUGUCCGGUUUUACAAAGGCGGAGGGAUCAGAAUAAGGAGGGGUGGCUACGUCCAGAACCGGAGCCGCCACCGAGGGUAGAUGCCCACCCGGACCCUCCCCUAUAGGUUCAGGCGAUCAUUGCAGGAGAUGGUUGCAUCACUCAAGGAGAUUUCUCCCCCGUUGCAUCGCAAGGGAAAACAUCAGAUUUGAUGUUGACAAAUCUCUGGCCAGUCCAACAAGAGCGACAGGAUGUCCCCCAAGAAGAUGGGAAUUUUUAG
ensembl:lncRNA